rnacentral:misc_RNA from 1 species
CUGAGUUGCACGACUCCAAACCAAACCGAACCUACCGUACCGUUGCCUCGGCGGGCAGCUCCAGGGCGGAGCCUGCAGCCCCCGUGGGGGGGUGCCCGCCAGAGGACCACCAGACCCUGUCGUCUCUAAGCCUCUCUUGAAACCACUGCGUUAGCAGACAAUCA